GCUGUAGCUCAUUGACAGAGCAUUUGACUUGCAUGCAAAAGGUCCCAAGUCCAAUCCCUGGCAUCUCCA